rnacentral:sRNA from 1 species
AUGUACAACUCGUACAUUCCGGUUCUGAGUGCGCCGUCCACGCCCACCUGACGACUGCUCGCUACGUUUUGGUAGCC